rnacentral:misc_RNA from 1 species
UCCGGUUUGGCACCGGCAGUCCCCCGAGAGUCCUCAGCACCUUUCGGCCUGUUAGCAACACGGGGCGGGGGUUGCGCUCGUUGCGGGACUUAACCCAACAUCUCACGACACGAGCUGACGACAGCCAUGCAGCACCUGUGCUUGGGUCCCGAAGGAGGGCCACUGUUUCCAAUGGCUUUCCCAAGCAUGUCAAGCCUAGGUAAGGUUCUGCGCGUUGCGUCGAAUUAAACCACAUGCUCCACCGCUUGUGCGGGCCCCCGUCAAUUCCUUUGAGUUUCAGCCUUGCGGCCGUACUCCCCAGGCGGGGCACUUAAUGCGUUAGCGCCGGUACCAAGAGGGUCGCUCCCCCAGGCACCUAGUGCCCAUCGUUUACGGCGUGGACUAC